GUAAUGUCCCCUUCCCCUGUCCCCUACAGUAGAAAAGUCAAGCUCCCUUACCAUAUCUCUGCUGCCCUAGCCCAGACAGAUUUGUUCCCUCAGGAAUCACAACCUCCUGUGGAGAUGCCCUGGGUACCUGGACUGUGGGUGGGUGAGACAUUUGUCUAUGCUAAGUUGCCCAGACAGCUCUGCACAGAGAGCUGCUGCCAUGCCCACUCAGAUGUUUUGGAGCACCUCUGCUUGUUCCAGCCCUCUACAAGGGGUACAGUUGGGGGAGAAUGUGAGCUAUGACCACUCUAGGUGGAGGGCAACAGAGACUGCUGUGUGGGGAGCUGGGGGAAGAGGAGGUUGGCAAGGCAUCCAGGGAACAGAGGAGCUGGCAGUCAGAUCCCAUCACAGGGAGGCAGGGAGGCAAGGCCACUGGGAUCUGGAGCUCCUUUUGACUGUUCCACUGUGCUGUCAACUUCACAUAGAAAUUACGUGUUCAGAUAGGGUUAUGAAGAACUUCCAGAAGGGGUUCAGGGAACUGGACCCAAACAUAGUCCAUCAGGACAUGGGCUCUUAUGUGACACACUGCUGACCUGGUUACCUGCUAUCUCAGGCUUUUUCAGCUCUGACUACACAUGAAUCACUUUAAGGGCAUUAAAAUACUGAGUCCUGGGCCUUGCCCCAGACUGAUAGAACCAUCUCAGGUGUGGUCCCUGAAUCAGCACAUUAAAGCACCCCUCAGGUAUUCAGGGAUGCAGCAGGGGUGGGGUGGGAGCCAGGGUGUCUCAGAGGGCCCAUGUGACCAGCACUGCUCUGGGCUGAGUGAGAAACUUCCUCCCGUACCAUCCUCAGACCCGAGCUUCCUCCUGGAGAGUGGCAGAGAGUGCAGGUCCACAUUCAGGCUCUGUCUCUCACUAACACUGCACCCCGAGGCCAGGCCCAGGUGUGAGUAGGAUCAUUAAACACACUCCUCUCUUAGGCUCGUUUGACAAUUAGAUGACACACUACGUGCAAAGCACUUGGCACAGUAACUAGCACAUGUUCCAGGCUCAAUGUCUCAGUUAUUGUGGCCACUGGUGCUACUAUCGUUUUUUUCAGAUUUAAAAGGGGAAAUCCUACUUGGCUCUCAGAGACAUCUGUGUGGUCCUGCUGAGUGGGCAGUGUCUGCAGGUGAAGUGCGACAUCGAGUCCACAGCAGGAGCUGUCUUUGAUGCCUUCAUGCCCUUUGCCAACCUUGGAGAUAUCACCUACUUCGGCUCGGCUUAUAUGAAAGGCACAGCUUGACCAGGCAUCAGUUCUACCUGCAGCUUCGUAAGGACAUUCUGGAGGAGAGACUGCACUGUGAUGACGAGACACUGCUGCAGCUGGGUGUCCUUGCCCUGCAGGCUGAGUUUGGCAGUUACCCAAAGGAGCAGGCAGAGAGGAAGCCGUAUUUUUGAGUUGAAGAUUACAUCCCUGCCACUCUGAUCAAAAGGAUGACUGCUCUCUGAGUCCAAGUAGAAGUCUCAGAGAUGCACCGGCUCAGUCCUGCUCUGUGGAUAGAGGAAGCAGAGCUGGAGUUCUUGAGGGUGGAAUUACAGGUUGAAGAUAACAAGUGGCUUAAACUUUGUUGCUACAUACAGUAUUAAGGAUUUACUCCACAAAGAGCCACUGGAUUAUUUAAUCAUAGCUCUUGGAUCUUCUAUUUCAUUUUGAAAAAAGGAGUCCAUUAACUGGUGGCAGCCUCCUGGCUGGGUCACAGGUCCCUGGCUCUGCCCAUGCAUCACCUCACACUGGCACAGACUGGUCAGUGGCCCAGCGAAAGAAAUUCACCAUCACCAGCAGCAUCACUUGGAAAAAGCACACGUUUGUCACAGAUUCAGCCAAGACCUGCACAUAUUUACUGGGCCUCUGCUCUGCCCAGCAUGGCUUCCAUGCACAGACAGGCUCUGGGCGGCCUCCCUGCCUCCUAACCGCCCCUGCACUGGCCAGGAGCAGCAGGACAGUGCCUGUUUGAUCCAGAAGCCAAUGACCUGUGACCUUCUCUUGCAGCCACCUAUUCAGAGCAUGUGCCCAAGGUCACAGGAUAACAGGAGAGAGAGCUUCACUGCUCACCCAGGUCAGGAACUUGUGCAAGUGGUGCUGAAGUGCGACCCACACUGUGGCUUUGGUUUUGUCAUUAAUGAAGGAGAAGAUGUAGGCCAAGUGAGCCCUGGCAUUUUUAUAUCUUCUGUUAUACCUAGAGGACCAGCAGCAAAAACUAAAACGAUCAAACCAGGGUGCUGGUUCUUCUUCCCUUCCAUCACCUCUGGAAAUCAAGACAAGUGAAAUCUACUUUGUGAAGCUGGUUAAAGAAGAUGGAACAUUUGGAUUUAGAGUGACUGUAAGCAUUGUUAAUGGGGCUUGGAAAAGUUAAAGAGCUGUCCAUCUGGAGCCUUGGUGGGCUUUCCACCUUGAUAAUGUCUGCAUUGUGUACAAGUGGCACCUGGAAAGUGGGUGAGCCAAGAAGGUCUGUGGGAGCCACUUGUAGGGAAUGGGAGUUCAAAGACAGACCAGGAAACACAGGACAACUUGAGGUUGAGG
rnacentral:lncRNA from 1 species